AUUGUAGUCUGCAACUCGACUACAUGAAGCUGGAAUCGCCUAGUAAUCGCGAAUCAGAAUGUCGCGGUGAAUACGUUCCCGGGUCUUGUACACACCGCCCCGUCACACCAUGGGAGUCGGAAAUGCCCGAAGUCAGUGACCCAACCGAGAGGAGGGAGCUGCCGAAGGUGGAGCCGGUAACUGGGGUGAAGUCGUAACAAGGUACC
rnacentral:rRNA from 1 species